ensembl:miRNA mir144 microRNA mir-144
CACGGCUCCAUCUUGAGCCCUGGACAGGAUAUCAUCUUAUACUGUAAGUUUAAUAAAGAGACACUACAGUAUAGAUGAUGUACUAUCCAGGGUUUCAUUCCACCUCUG